rnacentral:rRNA from 1 species
GGAGUUAGCCGGUGCUUCUUCUGUGAGUGAUGUCCUUCCUGCCGGUUAUUGACCCGCAGGCCUUCUUCCUCACUGAAAGUGCUUUACAACCCGAAGGCCUUCUUCACACACGCGGCAUGGCUGGAUCAGGGUUGCCCCCAUUGUCCAAUAUUCCCCACUGCUGCCUCCCGUAGGAGUCUGGGCCGUGUCUCAGUCCCAGUGUGGCUGAUCAUCCUCUCAGACCAGCUACGGAUCGUCGCCUUGGUGAUCCGUUACCUCACCAACCAGCUAAUCCGACAUAGGCUCAUCCGAUAGCGCGAGGCCCGAAGGUCCCCCGCUUUCCCCCGUAGGGCGUAUGCGGUAUUAGCCUGGGUUUCCCCAGGUUAUCCCCCACUACCGGGCAGAUUCCUAUGCAUUACUCACCCGUCCGCCGCUCGCCACCAGGGAGCAAGCUCCCCGUGCUGCCGCUCGACUUGCAUGUGUUAGGCCUGCCGCCAGCGUUCAAUCUGAGCCAGAAUCAAACUCUGA